rnacentral:tRNA from 1 species
GAGGGCAGAGCUCCAUGGUAGAGCACUUGCUUGUGUGCAUGAGGUCCUGGGUUCAAUCCCCAGUACCUCCA